UUUUCAAGCAAACUGAUGUAUGUUUUAAAACUUUAAUAAAGUAGCUAAAGUGAUUGAUGUUGUAAAGGUGAAUGGAUGGCUGGCCAAUAACCCAUUCAUUUUCUUUUACUAUGCUGCUUGUGACUUGCUUCUAUAUAAGCAAGCCUUAUGAAACACAACAAAGAUAGAUGAAUGUGAAGGGUUCACGGGAAAGAAAGAGAGGAAGGAAGGAAGAGGAAGAGAGAGAAGGAAGAGGAAGAGAGAAAAUAGAAGAAGAUAAGAGGAGAUAAUAGAGAGAGUUAUCUUUGUACUCCUAUUAUUAUAAAUUAUAAUGAAAGCACCACUGCUGCCCCGAGGACGUACUCCAGUCACACUGACUGUAGAGGAACCUCGUAAAAUUUGUGUCUUGUUUCAUUUAUUCCACUGCACCCACAGUCGAUUUUACAACACGUUAUCAGCACGAGAAGCUCUCAUGUCAGUGGAAAGCACAACGCCACAAAUCCUGUUCACCUCCUUCAGCUGGAAUCUCACAGAAGCAAAAGAGUAAAAGACUAAAAAUUUGCAAGAGAAUUUGACAGCCAUGUAAAUAGCCUCGGAACUCCAACUUGCGGACCUCGGAUUGAAAUACUUUCUUCUUGAAAGUUGUUCGUCUGCUCAGUAUCUACAACAUAUCAAAAUUUCAGAAAAUGUUAACGGUGCGAUCGUGGCAGAUGUCUGAAAUACCAAACCAGUUUCCAAUUUCCGCAGAAAACUGGGCAGCCACCUUAUGAGUACCAAAACUCCAUUUCGGUAGCUCAAAUCGAUAUUGUUUCUUCACGAAAGUUGUUUGGUAUCCUCUUAUCCAUAUCAUACUAAAUUUUGAACUAAAUCUAACGGUUUGAUCUUCUCAUAAGUUGCAGACACUCUUGACUCCAAAACUUAUGGGAACCGUUUCGACUUUUUCGAAACUCACCGGAGGAGGAACCCCAAUUGGAACUUAUUGUUACUAUUAUUUACUGAGUAACCAAAAUGACUUCGAACUGUGAAAUAAUAAUAAAAAUAAAAGGGAUGAAACAAAAGAAGUGGUAGACCAAGAAAAUGAAAAAGCAAAACAUGAGGACUUAAUCAUUGCAUUUUCUGUUUUGGCAUAUUUAUGUGCAUGGUGUUGGUUUAAAGCCCAUGUCACAAGUUCUAUUUAUUUAAAGCAAUUUAUUUAUAGUGGGUAGAAUUAUUACCCUUUGCUUUAAAGCUUUGAUAUUUAUGUGAAUGGUGCUGAAUCAAAGCCCUUGUCACAAGCUUUAUUUACUUUAAAGCAAUUUAUUUACCAUGGACGGUUUUACCGCCUAUUGCUUUAAGUUUUGAUGGUGCUGAAUUAAAGCCCUUGUCACAAAUUUUAUUUACUUAAAUGCAAUUUAUUCAUUAUGGCUGGAAUUACCGUCUAUUGCUUUAAUUUAUUUAUUGUACUUAUCUUUUGUUACUAUGAGUAUAUACAGGACCUGAAGUUCCUUGAUCAGAUCAGAACCUGCAGUUUUUUGAUCCUCAUCAUAUAAAAUGAUUGGACCCGAAGUUCCAUCAUACAAAAGGAUCUAGCAUGAAGUCCCUUGAUCCUGAAGAUCAGGACAUGAAGUUCCUAGAUGAGUACCAUAAGUUUGAAGUGCCGCAGUGCUUUAACUUAAUUGUAAUAAAAGCCAUAAGAGUCUCAGUUUACAGACUAUUAAAUAAGGACCAGAAGUUCCUUAUGUCCAUACUCAAAAUGGUUUAGCAGAAGCCUUUAUUAAGCGAAUGAAAUCAAUUACCAACGCUCUGCUCAUGAAAAUGAAAUUGCCAAUUUUCUACAUGGGAACAUGUAAACUUUACAUGAUGCAUUAUUAAUUCGGUUGAGACAUGUUACCAACCAUCAAUACUUCUCAGUACAACUCGUGUUUGGAAACCAGCCAAGCAUUAUACUUUCAUGAGUUUUUGGUUGUGUUGUCUAUGUGCCUGCAAGAUUGCCACAACGUACUGAAAUGAGGUAUCAUCGUAGAUUAGGCAUUGAUGUUGAGCACCAUCUAUCAUUCAAUAUUUGGAACCCUUGACUGGGGAUAUGUCUACCGCAUGAUUUGCGGACUAUGAUUUUGAUAAGACAGUUUUCCCGUCAUUAGGGGGAGAAAAUAACAUUGUUCCAAAAGAACGAUGAGAAAAUAUCAUUCCAGAAGAAUGAUAAGAAAAGACCGUUCCAGAAGAACGAAGAGAAUUUGUCUUAUUUUGAUUCACGAAGCAAUCAACAUGAAAAUGAAGUAAGAAUAAUUGAAUGAUGCAACGAUAUAUCAAUAAAAUGCCAGAUGCAUUUAAUGAUGCAAGAAAGUGAUGAAAACACAUAGAUUUGCUGCAAAUGUGCCUACAAGAAUUAGCGAGGCAGUAAAUGAUUUCUCUGUUACACGCCUGAAGCGUGGCAGACUUUUAGACUCAAAAGGUUUAGUUAUUUGAAAGAAGAAGAAUAUGGCACUACUAAACUAUUGCAUGCCAGAAGCAUGACAGUUGUCACAUGGAUAUACGUCCCAGAUAUGACAAUCCGCGGACAUGGGAAUGUUGAUGUCUCAUGCAUAUAGCAUGAUAGACGUAUAGGUUCCAAUGACUCAACUCCCAAAAGUGGAGGUUAAAAUCUAAGCUCCAUAACACUCAAAAUGAGGUUAUGAUUCGAAUUCUCUAAAUUACGACUAUCCUGGAAGAGAUAGUGCCAUGCCCUUGAAGAGGCAAUGGAUAUCCAAAAGAAAUGAAAAGCUUUUAUGCAUGCGCAUGCACAUGAGAAUAUGGGAUCACGGAUUGAUGAUAACCAAUGGUAAUUUUGGUUUUUACAAGUAGCUACUAAAUUCAUCAAUGAGCUGUAUUAAUAUUGAGUCACGCUCUUUUGUUCGUCGACAAAAAGGAAAAUUAUUGGCCAAAAAAAUGGAGAAAGGCAAUUCCAUUACAAUUUUGUAAGAACGUGGAAAAAUUGACCUAUAUAUUUGAAUGUAAUACAAAUAGCCAAAGGAUGUUGAACCAAUGAGAUUAUAUAUGGGCAUUUGUAAUACAGUGUAAUACACUUACAUGAUAUGACACAAGGUUGUAAACGAGUUCAUAUAAAUGGAGAAUUAUAUAUGAAGGGUUGUGAGUCACCCACAUCAUAUCUCCAUAAGUAAAUCCCUCAAAUAUACAUGGGAGCAAAUUGCUCUGUAUAAAUUCCAAAGGAAAAUGUGUCAUGAAGUGUAGAAAAUCUCUGAAGGAUUCAAAUUGCUUGAAGUAAGCCCCCGAAGGGUAAAGCAUAAAUUAUGAACUCAAUAUCAAUGGAUGAUAUAAAUUGCCUUAGUGAGUACUAUCAUUAUGAUAUUGUUGCAACAUACUAAAAUCUCUUGCAAGAGUCAAUGACAUUAAAUUAUAACUCUUGAAGAGUUGAUGAUAUUAAAUUGGGACUCUUGAAGAGUCUAGAAAAAUUAUAAAGUGUUGAAGGAAUUAUUGUCUCGAGCUGCAGAUCGAACAAUCUACCAACACGAAUCUUAUCCAUGAUAUUUAUGAUAUUAAAAGAACCAUAUGGAUUGAAGAUUAUGAGUUGAAUACUCAUAUGAUGAAGACACUAAGAAUAAUCAUUUAUCUUCGUGAGGGUAAAGAUAAAUUAAUAUUUGGUCCAGAAGUACCACAUCUUAGUGAAGUAUAUGCUUUAUUGUAUUUGGCACAAUACAUUGAAUGAAAUAAAGCUUAUUUAUUAAUAUCUCCAAGAAAUUACAGAUAUAUACAUACACAUGAGUUAAAACAAACAAACAAGAUGGAGCCUUCACAAAGGUUACUCAUGUGCAGCCUCAGUACUCGAAAGUACCCCAGAAGGGGGAGGCACUGGAGAUUGAUCAUGUGGCACCCCAGUACUUAGCAAAACACCAGAAGGGGAAGGCAUCAGUUGCUUUCGGAAUCUAGCAACGAACCUUUGGUGAUCACUUUGAAUCCAACUUUCGGAUUCUUGCAGUUGGUCGAGCUUUCUUUUCAUGCUCGUAGAGUAACUAUUUGCAAGCACGUGUAACACCCUAUUCUCGUGCUUGAGCCCUCUGAUCUCUUGUUUAAGACUUGCCACCUCCGCCAUCAAUGAUUUAAUUUGGCGAGUUUGAGCAAGUAGGCGUUGGCCCAUAUUGGACACAGAGCCAGCACACUGAACACUGAGAGCCAAGGAGUCUUGAACGGCCGACUCUUCAGACCGUUCUGAAAGGAUCUUGUUAUCCCUUGGAGUGAGAAGAUUCCUAGCUACCACAGUAGCAGUUAUGUUAUUCUUCAUCACAGAGUCCCCAACCGUAAGAGGACCAUUAGAAGAUGAGAAGGACGGGCGCCAUAUAUUAUCCUGACCAUGCUCAUCUGUAUCACUCCUAAGACUCAAAUCUAAGCAAAUGUUAGAUGGGCAAGUCAUUUUUCAGAAAUGAUGAAGGAAAAACAGAGGUCAAAUAAAAUUUCAGAAGUGCAAGAUAGAGGAAAUUUCUACAGGCAGCAACUUUCUGAGCAUACUCUUGAACACAAUUGAUGUCUCUAUAAAAGAAGAGGCAGCAGAGCCACUUGUUCAAAGAUCGAAGAGGCACCGCUCUCCGAAUUUCAAAAGCCAGAUUUUCCUGAAUAAAGUUCGUUGGCAUUUUUCAGACGUAAUCCCAACUUUUUCAGAUGUCGCGUGCAAUUUUGUCAAAGAUCUCUGACAAAGUUGAAAACGCGUAAAUCUUACUGUUCUAUUUACACCACAGUUGCUGACAAGAGUAAAAGCACAGCACCACCACUUGCUAUUGAGAAAUCUCUAUAUAUGUCGACCUCUGUUCUCCAUAACAAGGCAGACCUGCAACACUGCAAGAAUACCUAACUCUUCCUCAUCUCCGAGAAUGCAUCUUCAACAUAGCAUCUCGAAAUACUCAGUUUUCUUCCUCUCCGAGAAUACUUCUUCAAACAUGUCACACCAGAGCAAGAUUAUCACAUAUCUUCAGGGACCAGAGCAAGAUUAUCUCAUAUCAUGCAAUCUCCCUGUCCUUUCCUUUGUCCAUGUUCUUGCCUGCAAAGACAAGGAUAAGGAAAUCAAUAUGUCGGAACCUCCACUCAAACUCCCGGUAAGGAACCGAUUGCCUGGAACCUUUCCUGAUUGCUUACCUAGUAUUGCUCUCGAGUAGUCAUCUUCAACGGUUGGAGUUGGGUCUCCAGUCACCAAGAAGUGAUGAACCAUCCAAAUGCAAAGGUUUGCAUUCCACUUCUGCACCAGGGGACAAAUCCUACAAGAGAAGAUGCCACAUAUGCAUAGGGGGGAAAGCAGUGAAAAUACUACUUAAGCAAAAGGAGCAAGUAAGGAAAGUGAAAAUGAUGCAUUGAAGCAUGGGGAGACAAGUGCAAUGAACAUAUGCUGAUUCAUCCCCAACUAAGCCGAAGAUCACUUGUCACGUGCAGCUCCUCAUGGUCCAAUUUCAUUCAAGAUCAAGCUUCGAAGGUCCUUAAAGAAAUUACAAGUCCGAUUCAAGAUCAAGUGUCCACCACACUUGAAUCAAAUCUGCUCCAGAUCAAAGGAGUAAAUUCAGACCUUUGGAUGCAAGUCUAGCAGAAAGUCCUACAACCCAGUUCAAGAAAAAGCCUGUGGAAAGUUAACAACAAGUAAAUCAACUCUUUCAGCAACUCUUCUUACUAAGAGACUAAAGCAGAACGAUCAACGAUCAACCUAAAUGAUUUGAAAUCAGGGGGAGAUACUCAUCAGGAGGAGCAUUCAAAACAGAUCAAGAUUUUAACGAGUCAAUAGAAGACUUGUGGCCAUCCAAGGGGGAGUGUUGUAAAGGUGAAUGGAUGGCUGGCCAAUAACCCAUUCAUUUUCUUUUACUAUGCUGCUUGUGACUUGCUUCUAUAUAAGCAAGCCUUAUGAAACACAACAAAGAUAGAUGAAUGUGAAGGGUUCACGGGAAAGAAAGAGAGGAAGGAAGGAAGAGGAAGAGAGAGAAGGAAGAGGAAGAGAGAAAAUAGAAGAAGAUAAGAGGAGAUAAUAGAGAGAGUUAUCUUUGUACUCCUAUUAUUCUAAAUUAUAAUGAAAGCACCACUGCUGCCCCGAGGACGUACUCCAGUCACACUGACUGUAGAGGAACCUCGUAAAAUUUGUGUCUUGUUUCAUUUAUUCCACUGCACCCACAGUCGAUUUUACAACAAUUGAGAACUUAUUUACUUUCUUAAUUGUUGAACGGAUGCAAUUGAGGACAUAGCGAUCCUGUAUUGAUUAGAUGAUGACAGAUUUAUCAUUUGAAGUUUGAGAUUUUUUUUUUUUUUCCAGUACAAGCAAUAUUCUAAGAAGGAGACGGUUUAAAAUUUAAUUUGAGAGGUAGUGGGUUUAAAAUAAAGUCUUGAAAUUUGAAUAUUUCGGCUAUUUCCCAAGUCUUUUGAUUUUUUAUAUACUCAUCUUUUGUUAAUGUCCUUUUUUUUUUAUGUAUAUCUCACUCACACCACAAAUGUUUUCCAUCGAAGCGAUAUUGGGAGGACUACUUGAAUGCAUGACCUGGAAAAUGUUCAUAACCUCAAUACAAUCUUUGACUCUCUAAGACCAUUAAUUAAGUCAUUAGAUUAUGUUGUUGUGACACUGAACUUGAUCUAUAAAAUCAUUCUCUCAAUUUAGCGUUUAAGUAUUUUUUGAAAGAAAUUUAGAGCUGAUAUGAUCUAUGUAAUUUCUCCCUGAAUGUGUAAAUUGAUAUUUAUGUCCUUGUUGGCAAAGUGACGUGGAUGUAUUAUUCAGCGUUUAUUUUAUUUUUCCUAGUAGCGUAAUUAAAUAGUACUCGUCGUUACGAUCGCGUGAGGGCGAGUUAGACCCGAAUCGGAGUUGUAACGAAAAAAUUACGCUCAGUCAAAGUACAUUAAUAGCGAGUAGAAUUGUAGAUGCGUGCGUGUUAAUUAUUCAAUGUGGGAAACACUGUUUUUAACAAGGGGAUAGAUUUUUUGAGUACUUUUACAAUGCAAAUCUGAAAAGCCCUAUCUUCUCUUCUUUUUAAAUUGGACAUGUGUCCCCCAUUUCACUCACAACCAAUCAUUUUCCAUCAUUUCACUCUUCACCAAUCAACAUUUGUCCACAAUUCCCUCACCAAUCAGAGAACCCACGCCUCACACCUCUCCCCCAAUCACAGACUACUCCCUCGCUCUCUCAGUCUCUCUCUUCUCAUUCUCUGUCACCGAAACUCUCCAUUUCCCUACAACCCUCUAGAAUGACGUCAAAACUUUACAAAUCGAACUCCAUAUCACAUUCAUCGUGUUCCUCUCAUCAUCACAAAUCCAGUCAUACCAACCGAUCACAAAAUGACGAGUUUUAACCCAUCAACUCGGAAGGUCCGACUUCGUGAGUUUUCCCUCCGACAAGUUUCAGGCUGAGUUACAAGAUUUUAGGACAUGGGGAAGCUUCUACACAACUCCCUAAGAUCUCUAGACUAAGUUUGGAAUCAAGUCGACGUCGAAACAAGCGAGUUCGAGGAGUUGAGUUUUAGGGCGAGACUUUCGA
rnacentral:lncRNA from 1 species